rnacentral:lncRNA from 1 species
AGUUGGCUGAAGGGAGUCGGUUGGUGAGGUGUGGCAAGAGGGAAAGUGGAACACCAAUGGUGUGCUGGUCCCGAGGGUUAACCAUGCGGCAAGGUCCGAGUCCAGUCCAAGGUUGAGGGUGCGAUAUGGAGGCUGUCCAUCAAAGCUGAAGCUGGGUCUAAGGCAGGGAGUCGGGUGAGGUCAGAAACUCUGGCAGAAGAGCAGGACUCCCACAACCUGGGACUGGGCUGGCUGGCUUUUAUCUGCCCCGAAGCAUAGGGCGGCCCCAGUCCACAGGUGACUCGCCUCUCCUGGCCUGGAGACGAGCACUCCUACUGCGAUAACUUAGUUCCCUCCCCCUCUCUGUCCUGAGCCUCUGCAGCUCAGGAGAGGCUGGAGGGUUACCGGACCCAGAGGCAACCUCAGCUUUCCCUGACGGGGCUGAGAGUGGAGCACCUGCAGGCAAUGGGUCCUCCUUCACCUCAGGAGCCAGAGCAGACUCAGCUGGUGCCUGCACCUGAGGAUCCAGCACAGGUGAGGACCCUUCAGGUUCAAGCCCCAGCCCUGGCUCAGCUGGUUCUGGAGGCGGGGACUCCUGUACAGGCUGGGAUUCCUCAGGUUCAGCCUCCAAGUCCGAAUCCCAGGCCAUCACAAAUGGACUAUCUGUGAGGAAACUAUAACAGUUUAACUGCAUUGGUCAGUAGCAGUCUCUUUUUCCUAUCUUCUUCACCCUGUGGACAUGGGCUUCAAAUCUUCAACAGCAAAGGCCACAACCCAGAAAGCUACAUCAGGCAGACACAGCCCACUGAUGAAGCAAAGUGAAGCGCCUCAAGCAGCAGAAGCCCAAGAGGAGGCAUCCAUCACCCACCCCAUUGCCUCUGCCAGCAGCGGAGAAGCACCAUCACCAGCCGGGGCGGAGGAAGGGGGUGUGGUGGGGAUGGAUCGCCCCGGGUGUCUUCGCUGAGGGGGUGACAUUUGGCACGCCGCCCGCCCGCGACACCCAAGCCUACCCCAAGCCAUCAGGGGAAGGGGGAGCUGUGCUGUUUUGCCGGCAGCAUCCCCACCUUCCCCCUUCAUUUUGACAGCUUGGGGGAGGCUUGGGAGUCGCAGAUGGGCGGCACACCAAAUGUCCGCCAUUGGCAGCUCGCUCCGCCCCUGUGGGCAGCUAACUCCGCCCCUGGCUACAGGGCACACGUGCACCUGAGCAGCUAUCCCACGCCUGGGAGCCCCUUCAGGAGCACCCACUGCCCCCCUUGGGAGCGUGCCCACCCUGGGCAGUGCAGGCAUAUGCUUCACCGCUGUCACCAGCAGUAGUGGAUUACAGCAAGCUCUUACCAAAAUCUUGCAAGAUUUCAACAGAAGUGGGAACCACUGCCAGUGCAAAGCAGGUAGGAGGGGUACAAAGAAGUAGCAGCAAAGGGGGGGGCGGGGGGGUCACAUUCCCGUUUUGCCUUAAGAGGUACAAUGAGACAUGCUGUCCCUUACUUCAGGUGUGCUUAUAGGCCCUGCAUGUGUCAAAUGGGACCCCCCCACCUCUUUGAACAGGGUGGCUUCUAGGCUUUUGAAAGAGUCUCAGAAAGUGGUUUUCUGUGCCUUUUCCCACAGAGCAUCCAUUCAAAUGGGCAGUUUACCCUGUGAAAGCUGAGGUGGUACAGUCAGUGCCACAAGGGGGCUCUACCACACUGAAUUGGCUCGUGACCCGGAGGUGAGCUCAAGAAGACGUCAUACCCAUAUACCAUACCUUUAGAGCUCUCUUAGGCCAUGGCUUCCCUCAAAGAAUCCUGGGAGAUGUAGUUUGUUAAGGAUGCUGAGAGUUAUGGGACUUCCGGGUUGGCGUCUCUGGCAAUGGCGGAUUUCCUCCGAUCGGGAGGAAUCCGCUCCAUGGAAAAAAGGGUCUGAACCGCCACGGCGAGGCGGAGACCCAUUAAAAACCACAGGUGGGAGAAGCCUGUGGACGUGGGAUUCGGCUGGCACCUUUGCGCCCCCCUACUCGCGGGGAGACCCGGUUUCGGGGAUCUGGAGCGACAUGGGGUGAGCGGCGCGGUGCCUUGAAUCGACUGCUUCUUUCACGGAGUGAAGCCGCAUGGCUGUUGCCGGAGAGCGCUGACUUUUUCCUGUGGACAAUUGGACUCUAAACAACGACCCGUGAGUAGAACGGAAAAUUGGAUUAAGAAAUUUCUUCUAAUUUGGCACUGAAGCGGGAAGGUCUAAACAGGAAGUCAGCCUUCCGCUUUUUGUAGAUAGAUUAAAGCAAAGACACGGCAAGCUAGAGUUAAGAAAAUCGUCUGUAAAGGAUCAAUUCUCAUCAUAUAAAAUUACUGAACCCCCCUUGGAAGCAGGAGAAGAGGGGGGAUUUUUUUUUUUCCUGGACUGUUUAAACCUGCAGAAGAGAGUGUAAAGAAAAGUAAUUUUCCACCGUCUUGAACCUGGGAGUGGGGUGUCAGGACAGACGUCCUUGGGAAGUUCAUUGACUAUAGACAAACGUUUUUGACAGACAGUUAAAAGAACAUAGUGACUCCAUUGUUCCCCUUCGCAUCUAAAAGGAACAAAAUAUUGACAGAAUAUCUGAAAAAGGAAACUUUGUUGUUAGAUCUGCUAUAAAAAAAUAAAAAAAAGAGAUGGAUACAAAUAGAAGCUUUUCCCCUAGAGGGAGCUUGUGAAACUGUUAUUAAAUCUGAACUGGGGAGCUUUGCAGCUGCAAUAGAUUAAGAUCGUGGGAUCAGGCUUUGACCUUGCACAAGAAUGUACUCGGAGGCUCUGGUGCGUGCUUUCUGCAAGACAAGUGCUUUAUUGGAACAGUUACAUGAGAAGAAGGAUUUGAUGACUGCUGCGAUUGGAAAUUUUGGACAGGUAGUGGGUAUCUAUAUAGAACCCACUCAGGAAUUAAUCCAGGAGAGUGCUCUGACAGAUCAGAUGAAGGAGGCGGUUGUGGCUGGACCUCGGGAGGCAGAGAUGGAGGGAACUGUGGCCCAGCAGGAACAUGAGUUGUUGGAUCUGACGAAUGAACCUGGAAAAAGCCAGAUUUGGAGAGAUAGAGUUUUGCUUGGCUUGGAGAUGGGGGGCUGGAUAGACCCCCCUAUGCAGGGAUGUUUUGACUUUUCAAGUCUGGCUUUGGGCCGGGAGGAGUUUGGAGUUGUGGGGGUCCUCAACUUUGGAGGGACUUUGAAACAUGCUAUUAAAUACCACAUGGAGUUCAGUGUUGAUUAUGGAAAAGGGGCUGAUCUGUCGAGAAGGGACAAAAAUAUUGUCAAGCUGGAGUCUCCACGAGUGAAAGGAGCAGAAGACAAAGUAAAGUACAGGUAUAAAUAUGAAGAAGAUCUGCGGAAGGGACAUGGAAGAGACUUAAGGGCCUCGGACAUAAGGUUACCAGGUUAAUGAACUAGAUGGAUGGGAUAGAAAGGACUGACAAAACCCGAGACCAGGAGGAAGAGACGUUGGAUGAAGAUUGGAAGAAAGUUUUAAAAAUUUUACUUAGGAAUGUUUUCUAAAAUUAAUGAGUAUUAGAAAAAUGUUGGAAUGAAAUUAUUUGGCUUUAACAAAAAUGUUAAAAAGAAUUAUGUAAGAAUAUGCUAUGGUUAUGAGAAAUUGGUAUAAAUAAGAUUUAAGUUUUAAGUUUUAGGGUUUUUUAUGGUAAGAUAAGGUUAAAAUAGAUUAAGGUAAUUUAAUGACAGAAUAUUAUGAAAAAUGGAAAGGAUUUGCUGUGAUAAUUAACAACUAGAAUACAAAAAAAGGAGGUGUGAGGAGGUCGAUGAAAUAAGGUAAUGACAGUUAAGGAUUCAGGAAUACUGGAC